CAGUAGCCGCGGGAAAACGGAGGGGGCAAGCGUUAUCCGGAAUUAUUGGGCGUAAAGGGUACGUAGGUGGCCUUUUAAGCGUAGGGUAUAAGGCAAUGGCUCAACCAUUGUUCGCCCUAUGAACUGGAAGGCUUGAGUGCAGGAGAGGAAAGCGGAAUUCCUAGUGUAGCGGUGGAAUGCAUAGAUAUUAGGAGGAACAUCAGCGGCGAAGGCGGCUUUCUGGACUGCAACUGACACUGAGGUACGAAAGCGUGGGGAGCAAACAGGAUUAGAUACCCCCGUAGUCCCUGUCUCUUAUCCA
rnacentral:rRNA from 1 species